CGUAGGGUGCGAGCGUUAAUCGGAAUUACUGGGCGUAAAGCGUGCGCAGGCGGCGCGUUAAGACAGGUGUGAAAGCCCCGGGCUCAACCUGGGAACUGCGCUUAUGACUGGCAAGCUAGAGUACGGCAGAGGGGGGUGGAAUUCCACGUGUAGCAGUGAAAUGCGUAGAGAUGUGGAGGAACACCAAUGGCGAAGGCAGCCCCCUGGGUCGAUACUGACGCUCAUGCACGAAAGCGUGGGUAGCAAACAGGAUUAGAUACCCUGGUAGUCCACGCCCUAAACGAUGUCAACUAGGUGUUGGGAGGGUAAAACCUUUUAGUACCGGAGCUAACGCGUGAAGUUGACCGCCUGGGGAGUACGGCCGCAAGGUUA
rnacentral:rRNA from 1 species